GUCUUACACUUGAUCUCUGAACCUCAGGUAAGUUCAUGUGGAAAGUAUUAAUCACUGAUGCA
rnacentral:snoRNA from 1 species